rnacentral:rRNA from 1 species
UACGAAGGGGGCUAGCGUUGCUCGGAAUUACUGGGCGUAAAGGGCGCGUAGGCGGACAGUUAAGUCAGAGGUGAAAGCCCAGGGCUCAACCUUGGAAUUGCCUUUGAUACUGACUGUCUUGAGUUCGGGAGAGGAGCGUGGAAUUCCCAGUGUAGAGGUGAAAUUCGUAGAUAGUUGGGAAGAACACCGGGUGGCGCAAGGCGGCGACUCGUGGGACCGAGACUGACGCUGAGGC